CAGUAGCCGCGGGAACACAGAGGGUGCAAGCGUUAAUCGGAAUUACUGGGCGUAAAGCGCGCGUAGGUGGUUUGUUAAGUUGGAUGUGAAAGCCCCGGGCUCAACCUGGGAACUGCAUCCAAAACUGGCAAGCUAGAGUACGGUAGAGGGUGGUGGAAUUUCCUGUGUAGCGGUGAAAUGCGUAGAUAUAGGAAGGAACACCAGUGGCGAAGGCGACCACCUGGACUGAUACUGACACUGAGGUGCGAAAGCGUGGGGAGCAAACAGGAUUAGAUACCCCCGUAGUCCCUGUCUCUUAUAC
rnacentral:rRNA from 1 species